CGUGCGCAGUUGGGCGGUGACGGGGUGACGCUCGGAGCGUCGGCGGUGACUCUCACGGAUCCGGUCCCGCCCUCCCUUCGACCGUCCGGGGCUAGCGCCCGCGAUCCUUUUCCCAGAGUGCUCUGCGCCGUGAAGAAGCGGCUCCCGAGCGCUGGGGGCAUUUUGUGUUGGCUGGAGCCGGAGUAACAAGAUGGCGGCGUCGGCGGAGUGACAGGGGUCUCUCCGGGCGGGAGCCGGCGGCAGUGGUGGCAGCGGUAUCGCCGCCCUAACUCACCGCUCUCCUUUUCCAGCCCGCGACGUCGCCGCGAAAGUGAGGCAGCGGCGGCCGCCAGAAGCAAGUGGCCCAGCCUGGUUACCGUGAGAACCCCCUCAACAAUCUGCGGCCUGACAGAAAGAAACCUGACAGCAGCGGUGAUUAGGUUCUCCUUGGCCGACUCUGGGCCCUGUAACGCCGAGAAAAGAGCCAGCGUUUUCCUGCCGCCCUCCGGAGCCCUGCUCCGUGGACGAGCCCUAGAGGUCUCCCGUUCUCCCCUUAGAGGUGUCGGGGCUUAGCCCCAGCCUCCAUCUUCGUCUCUCAGGAUGGCGAGCAGCAGCGGCUCCAAGGCCGAAUUCAUUGUCGGAGGGAAAUAUAAACUGGUACGGAAGAUCGGGUCUGGCUCCUUCGGUGACAUUUACCUGGCGAUCAACAUCACCAACGGCGAGGAAGUGGCAGUGAAGCUAGAAUCUCAGAAGGCCAGGCAUCCCCAGUUGCUGUACGAGAGCAAACUCUAUAAGAUUCUUCAAGGUGGGGUUGGCAUCCCCCACAUACGGUGGUAUGGUCAGGAAAAAGACUACAAUGUGCUAGUCAUGGAUCUUCUUGGACCCAGCCUCGAAGACCUCUUCAAUUUCUGUUCAAGAAGGUUCACAAUGAAAACUGUACUUAUGUUAGCUGACCAGAUGAUCAGUAGAAUUGAAUAUGUGCAUACAAAGAAUUUUAUACACAGAGACAUUAAACCAGAUAACUUCUUAAUGGGUAUUGGGCGUCACUGUAAUAAGUGUUUAGAAUCUCCAGUGGGGAAGAGGAAAAGAAGCAUGACUGUUAGUUCUUCUCAGGACCCAUCUUUCUCAGGAUUAAACCAGUUAUUCCUUAUUGAUUUUGGUUUGGCCAAAAAGUACAGAGACAACAGGACAAGGCAACACAUACCAUACAGAGAAGAUAAAAAUCUCACUGGCACUGCUCGAUAUGCUAGCAUCAAUGCACAUCUUGGUAUUGAACAGAGUCGCCGAGAUGACAUGGAAUCAUUAGGAUAUGUUUUGAUGUAUUUUAAUAGAACCAGCCUGCCAUGGCAAGGACUAAAGGCUGCAACAAAGAAGCAAAAGUAUGAAAAAAUUAGCGAAAAGAAGAUGUCCACACCUGUUGAAGUUCUAUGUAAGGGAUUUCCUGCAGAAUUUGCCAUGUACUUAAACUAUUGCCGUGGGCUGCGCUUUGAGGAAGCCCCGGAUUACAUGUACCUGAGGCAGCUAUUCCGCAUUCUUUUCAGGACCCUGAAUCACCAAUAUGACUACACAUUUGAUUGGACAAUGUUAAAACAGAAAGCAGCACAGCAGGCAGCCUCUUCAAGUGGGCAGGGUCAGCAGGCCCAAACCCCCACAGGCAAGCAAACUGACAAAACCAAGAGUAACAUGAAAGGAACGUGGCUGGUCAUUCAGCAACGUAAACCAUAUCACAGGGGAAGACCUUGAAAUAUCUGGAGAGACUGCUCUGCUCCGAAUACUCUCAAUCCAAAGAGGUGCCGGGGAGCUGCAUCUGUUUGCUGAAAUUUUUGUCAGCUUUUUUUCACUGUGGACAAUAAAGCUGGAGAGAAAAGAACCAAAUAACCCAACAGGAAAUAAAGAUGAGUGCUUAAGAGUUGAUUUGAAGUAAUCUGAAGCCCACAUCUCGAAGGCUUGCUGGACCUAUCAAACUUUUCAACUUGUCAGAUUGAAAACAACUGUCAGAAGACCUAGAAGAGUACAGUGCUGCUGUGACUCAGUGGUGUAUAAUGCAGACCAUCUACCAGUUGGGGAAGGAAUCAGUUGUAACAGGAACAAAGGGAUUCAUUCCUUCAUUCCUUAUUUUAACUGUUGCAGUGAAGAUGGGUUUUUGGACUUUAGAAACCAGGAGACACCACCUAAACUACAAGACAAACCAAGGACUAAUUGCACACUGAGGAAAAGAAUACUUAGUACUUGAAGAUUGAAUCUUGAAUACCUGCUGAAUGCUCCUAUUGAGAUUUUUCCUAAACAAGCAUCUGUAACAUUUUAGGACAAUUCACCGGAAAAACAUUGAUCCCUGGGUGGAAUAUCCUACCAUUGGCCAGUCUGAAUCUGGAUUUGACUGCUCUAUUCUACCAGGAAUAUUGUUAGGCUAGCCUUUAACCAACCCCUAAACAAUUGUAAUCAUUAAUUGACCCAGCAGUUCUUCAAAUAUCAGAUUAAAAGAUGAACAGAUACAAUUCUUAUCCCUAUUAAAGACACAAGAGUUUUCUAAUACUUUGACUGACAAUGUAACUUAUGUUUUCUUUGUAGUUUGUUAGUGACAGUGGUUUUCAUUUUAAUGCUGUUUGGAUAUUCAACAUAGUACAGGUUUCCCCUGUCUGAAAGUAGGGCACUGGAAACCUCUCCUAAGCUAAAAUGGCAUAAAGCAAAGAAGCAGUUUACCUUAGGAUACAUGUUGCUGAUAAAUUGAGAUAAUGCAUAGAUGCCAACAGACACAGUUCAAAGCUGUGGCGGCUUGAGGCUGAUGGUAGUUCCCAGGGAAAGAACUUGGCAGUGCCUUUAUCACUCCUCAGGAGUGCCAUUAUCACUACUCAGGGUGCAUGCUGCCUCUAGGUUUGCUGUGAAACGCUGAAUGCUAUUUUUGCUUUUUUCGUAAAAGCAAAAAAUCUUUGGUUAGUGAAAACAGGUACUAAUGUAGGCCUUUCAUAAAAUGUGAAGUGGCAUAAAGCGAACUUUUUGAAAAGUAGGGGGAUACCAGUAAUUAUUCAGUAUCGUGUAAUUGUGUAAAAAGCUACAGUAAAAGAAAACCCAACAAUUUUAGUGGUUGUGAAAACAUUUUUAUUGUAUUUAAUGAUAAUUGCAGGACUUGAAACCAAAUGCUCCUCAGGAUAAGGGUCAUUGCUAUUUAGCUAAAAUUUGCUUUAAAAUAUUCCUGUAUUUUAACAUUGGAACUAAGUUACAGUAUAUGGUCAGAUUUUUUAAAAUUUAAUUCAGGUUUGAUUUGACAGCCUUUUCUUUUUGUGGUUUUACACUGCUAAUCCUAUUUAAUAACAUGCAUCAGAAACAUAGUAUUCCUGUGGCAAAGUACGUUUUCAGAAAAUUUCAUUAUCUUUCACUUUUGGCAUUUGCUCUAUGAACUUAGUGCUAGGACAGGCAGCAAAAGCCUGUUUUGCACCUACUCUGUUGUUAAGGCACUGUGGAGAGACGGAAGUAUAACACUCACAUCUUUGUCUUCGGAGCUUGUCACAAUAUAGUUUUCAAAUGAAUGAAGAUGACUUUCUGCCCUCAAAUGAAAAAACCGAGGCAUACAUGCAUGAAAAGUAAAUUACAGAACUAUUUCAUUUAUCCCACAAAGCCUGCUGGAGAUGAUCCUGCAAAUGUUGAAGUAUCAAAAAAGGAGCAGCUUAUGAUUGACAAAAACAUGGUCUGUGCUGAGGAGUGAGUGAUUAGAGUGAGCAAGAGUGAGCUAUAUAGGUUGGCUAUCAGAGGAGGGAUUGGACCAGGGUCAUUGAUGACUUAAAGGAGGCCUGUAGGUGAGAGAAGGUGCUGAUGAGAUUUUCAUGAUGUUGAGACAACAUAUUCCCUUUAGCUAUAGAUAAAGCUUGUAGGUAUUAGAAAUGGGUGUAUUUCCUCUGAUUGCCUUCAGCUGUAGAUAGAACAUGCAGCUAUUAUUGCCUGAGCCUCCUAUUCAAACCUGCCUUUAUGUGGAAGCCCUGAGGUCUAAUUUGUGGGGGAGGAGAAGUGUAUUUACAGGGUGGGGAGGCUUGAAAGUAACGCCAGAAAGCCUCACUCGUUUACAUUUUCAAAUCUGUGGUAAAAAAAUUAGUCUCUUUAGUGUAACUGAUAGACGUAAAGAAUUUUUAAAGGUCUAAGGUUUCUGUAUAAAAAUCAUAUACUUACCAGGUUUGUGUUCAGUGGAAUAACUCAGAUAAUUAUGCCUUGAAUACAUUUAUUAUUAAAGCCUUUUGUUCCUCGUUUGUAUCAAAUAAUGUACAGAAAAGUUCCUGCUCGCAGUAUGAUUAAAACUACUUUCUAGUUGAUAAAGCAAUCCUAUUUUUUAUUUAUUUGACUAAUAAACACAAUGUAUUCUAGGUACUAGAAAUACAGAAGUAAACAAAAACAGGCUUAUUGGAAUUACCACUAAUUCUCGAGAACUGUAUGCUGGACGGGAAGGCUUUAAUUCACUGUAUAUCACUCCUGCCUAGAGGCAUCCAGUACAGAAGUUUCCGGGAUUUUUUAUUUUAAACGCUAACCUGACCUAGUGAUUUUCAAAUAGAUGAAAAUAACGUAUGAGUUACCAUUCUAAAGUAAUUAUUUCCCUACUUUGGGUGUGGUUAAGAAAAUUUUUUUAACUUGGAGUUUAACAUUCUUUUUUUCUGUUUUGAUU